rnacentral:rRNA from 1 species
ACACAUGCAAGUCGAACGAGAGAGAAGGAGCUUGCUUCUUCGAUCGAGUGGCGAACGGGUGAGUAACGCGUGAGGAACCUGCCUCAAAGAGGGGGACAACAGUUGGAAACGACUGCUAAUACCGCAUAAGCCCACGGGUCGGCAUCGACCUGAGGGAAAAGGAGCAAUCCGCUUUGAGAUGGCCUCGCGUCCGAUUAGCUAGUUGGUGAGGUAAUGGCCCACCAAGGCGACGAUCGGUAGCCGGACUGAGAGGUUGAACGGCCACAUUGGGACUGAGACACGGCCCAGACUCCUACGGGAGGCAGCAGUGGGGAAUAUUGCACAAUGGGGGAAACCCUGAUGCAGCGACGCCGCGUGGAGGAAGAAGGUCUUCGGAUUGUAAACUCCUGUUGUUGAGGAAGAUAAUGACGGUACUCAACAAGGAAGUGACGGCUAACUACGUGCCAGCAGCCGCGGUAAAACGUAGGUCACAAGCGUUGUCCGGAAUUACUGGGUGUAAAGGGAGCGCAGGCGGGAAGACAAGUUGGAAGUGAAAUCUAUGGGCUCAACCCAUAAACUGCUUUCAAAACUGUUUUUCUUGAGUAGUGCAGAGGUAGGCGGAAUUCCCGGUGUAGCGGUGGAAUGCGUAGAUAUCGGGAGGAACACCAGUGGCGAAGGCGGCCUACUGGGCACCAACUGACGCUGAGGCUCGAAAGUGUGGGUAGCAAACAGGAUUAGAUACCCUGGUAGUCCACACCGUAAACGAUGAUUACUAGGUG